GACGAACGCUGGCGGCGUGCUUAACACAUGCAAGUCGAACGGAAAGGCCCUGCCUUUGUGGGGUGCUCGAGUGGCGAACGGGUGUGUAACACGUGAGUAACCUGUCCUUGACUUUGGGAUAACUUCAGGAAACUGGGGCUAAUACCGGCUAGGAGCUCCUGCUGCAUGGAGGGGGUUGGAAAGUGUCGGCGGUUGGGGAUGGACUUGCGGCUUAUCAGCUUGUUGGUGGGGUAGUGGCGUACCAAGGCUUUGACGGGUAGCAGGCCUGAGAGGGUGACCGGCCACAUUGCGACUGAGAUACGGCCCAGACUCCUACGGGAGGCAGCGGUGGGGAAUAGUGCACAAUGGGCGGAAGCCUGAUGCAGCAACGCCGCGUGCGGGAUGACGGCCUUCGGGUUGUAAACCGCUUUCGCCUGGGACGAAGCGUGAGUGACGGUAAUGGGUAAAGAAGCACCGGCUAACUACGUG
rnacentral:rRNA from 1 species